rnacentral:rRNA from 1 species
AGAGUUUGAUCCUGGCUCAGAUUGAACGCUGGCGGAAUGCUUUACACAUGCAAGUCGAACGGCAGCACGGGAGCUUGCUCCUGGUGGCGAGUGGCGAACGGGUGAGUAAUGCGUCGGAACGUACCGAGUAAUGGGGGAUAACGCAGCGAAAGUUGUGCUAAUACCGCAUACGCCCUGAGGGGGAAAGUGGGGGAUCGCAAGACCUCACGUUAUUCGAGCGGCCGACGUCUGAUUAGCUAGUUGGUGGGGUAAUGGCUCACCAAGGCGACGAUCAGUAGCGGGUCUGAGAGGAUGAUCCGCCACACUGGGACUGAGACACGGCCCAGACUCCUACGGGAGGCAGCAGUGGGGAAUUUUGGACAAUGGGGGCAACCCUGAUCCAGCCAUUCCGCGUGAGUGAAGAAGGCCUUCGGGUUGUAAAGCUCUUUCAGCAGGAACGAAACGGUACGCGCUAACAUCGUGUGCUAAUGACGGUACCUGCAGAAGAAGCACCGGGUAACUACGUGCCAGCAGCCGCGGUAAUACGUAGGGUGCGAGCGUUAAUCGGAAUUACUGGGCGUAAAGCGUGCGCAGGCGGAUUGUUAAGCAAGAUGUGAAAUCCCCGGGCUUAACCUGGGAAUGGCAUUUUGAACUGGCAGUCUAGAGUGUGUCAGAGGGGGGUGGAAUUCCACGUGUAGCAGUGAAAUGCGUAGAGAUGUGGAGGAACACCGAUGGCGAAGGCAGCCCCCUGGAUAACACUGACGCUCAUGUACGAAAGCGUGGGUAGCAAACAGGAUUAGAUACCCUGGUAGUCCACGCCC